UACGUAGGGUGCAAGCGUUUGUCCGGAAUUAUUGGGCGUAAAGCGUGCGCAGGCGGUUCGUCGUGUCCGAUGUGAAAGCCCCGGGCUCAACCUGGGAAUGGCAUUGGAAACUGGCGGACUCGAGUGUGGCAGAGGGGGGUGGAAUUCCGCGUGUAGCAGUGAAAUGCGUAGAGAUGCGGAGGAACACCGAUGGCGAAGGCAGCCCCCUGGGCUAACACUGACGCUCAGGCAC
rnacentral:rRNA from 1 species